rnacentral:lncRNA from 1 species
AUGAUCAUGGAUAAGCAAGAAAAAAGAAGGAUGUGCAGCGAUGCACAGAAGUCAGCAACUGUAAAUAAAGUUUUGAAAGCCUGCCCCCAGAGUUCAGAAGAAAGAAGCAUAUUGAAGAAGAUGCUGAUGCAGCGUGACCAGGAGAUCAGUAACCUUGUAAGGAUGUUGAAGAACAAUAAUCCUGCUUGGUUUGCUGAUAUCAAGGGUGGCCUAGCCCUGCCAUGCCAAAGUGAAAUAAAUGUGUAUAAACCUCAGGGAAAUGUCAACACCAUGCCUGUAGAGAGUGAAGCACAGACAGUUCUACAGCAAAUGAAGACAAAUGAAGAGCCUUUCGAGACAUUUAUGGGAAGUGAAGACAAUCUGACCAUUGACAAGAAUAUUAUAUCUAGACUAAAACAGAGGGUGACUGAGGCCAGAAGACUUGGUGAGCAACUGAAAGUGUCCAAAAACAGAAUUCAUGAGAUGAAGAAGCAGUUGGCCUCGCAGAGGAAGCAGAUGGCAACUAAUGAUGUAACAUGGAAUCACACAGAGGCUGAAGAGGAGGAUCUUGUGAUAAAAAGCCUAUCUCUCCAAAUUGAGCAAGAAAAAACAAAGUGAGUAUAGUAGAAAGUGAUUUUUAUGUAUUGCUAAACAAAAAUAUGUUGUCAUUUCAUGAUCAAUUUUUCUUCUUCUUUCGUCUUGUCAGCUAUAAGACUGUCAUCAGCCGUCUUAAAGAACUGAGGAGAAAAAUUGAGCGCCAGCAACUCUACCUGGCUUAAAAAAAACUGCAAAAGGAUUUCCAAAGACAUUGGGCCCAGGGAGUCACCUUAGUGCAGGUCACACAAAAAAAGCAUAACGGCUAUAUUAACAAUAUGUCGCAUACUUUUUAGGCCAAGCUUAAAGUAGAGCUGACAUCUCUUAUUUUGUCAUGGGACGUUUUUAUUUUACCAUUUGUUUGAUUGCUGGAAAUAGGACUCCAACAGAUGCUACAGCCAGAUAAACACAAGUGACAAUUCUGAGGUGUUUCUUUGUAAUUAUUUUAUGUUUUUGUAUGUGAUGAGUGUUGUGAAGUACAUAUUUUUGUCUGUGAGAGUGAAAUAAAUAAAUAUCAUUAGUCU